rnacentral:rRNA from 1 species
AUUGAACGCUGGCGGCAGGCUUAACACAUGCAAGUCGAGCGGUAACAGAGAGAAGCUUGCUUCUUUGCUGACGAGCGGCGGACGGGUGAGUAAUGCCUAGGAAUCUGCCUAGUAGUGGGGGAUAACUUGCCGAGAGGUAAGCUAAUACCGCAUACGUCCUACGGGAGAAAGGAGGGGACCUUCGGGCCUUUCGCUAUUAGAUGAGCCUAGGUCGGAUUAGUUAGUUGGUGAGGUAAUGGCUCACCAAGACCGCGAUCCGUAACUGGUCUGAGAGGAUGAUCAGUCACACUGGAACUGAGACACGGUCCAGACUCCUACGGGAGGCAGCAGUGGGGAAUAUUGGACAAUGGGGGGAACCCUGAUCCAGCCAUGCCGCGUGUGUGGAGAAGGUCUUAGGAUUGUAAAGCACUUUAAGUUGGGAGGAAGAGCAGUUAACUAAUAUUUGACUGUUUUGACGUUACCGACAGAAUAAGCACCGGCUAACUUCGUGCCAGCCGCCGCAGUAA